CCAUCAGUGGUUUAGUGGUAAAAUCCAUCGUUGCCAUCGAUGGGCCCCGCGUCGGUUCGCGGCCGACGCA
rnacentral:tRNA from 1 species